CUCAGAUUGAACGCUGGCGGCAGGCCUAACACAUGCAAGUCGAGCGGAUGAGGGGAGCUUGCUCCCUGAUUUAGCGGCGGACGGGUGAGUAAUGCCCUAGGAAUCUGCCUGGUAGUGGGGGAUAACGUUCCGAAAGGAACGCUAAUACCGCAUACGUCCUACGGGAGAAAGCAGGGGACCUUCGGGCCUUGCGCUAUCAGAUGAGCCUAGGUCGGAUUAGCUAGUUGGUGAGGUAAUGGCUCACCAAGGCGACGAUCCGUAAUGGUCUGAGAGGAUGAUCAGUCACACUGGAACUGAGACACGGUCCAGACUCCUACGGGAGGCAGCAGUGGGGAAUAUUGGACAAUGGGCGAAAGCCUGAUCCAGCCAUGCCGCGUGUGUGAAGAAGGUCUUCGGAUUGUAAAGCACUUUAAGUUGGGAGGAAGGGCUGCUGGUUAAUACCCUGCAGUUUUGACGUUACCAACAGAAUAAGCACCGGCUAACUUCGUGCCAGCAGCCGCGGUAAUACGAAGGGUGCAAGCGUUAAUCGGAAUUACUGGGCGUAAAGCGCGCGUAGGUGGUUUUGUAAGUUGGAGGUGAAAUCCCCGGGCUCAACCUGGGAACUGCCUCCAAAACUGCAUGACUAGAGUACGGUAGAGGGUGGUGGAAUUUCCUGUGUAGCGGUGAAAUGCGUAGAUAUAGGAAGGAACACCAGUGGCGAAGGCGACCACCUGGACUGAUACUGACACUGAGGGCGAAAGCGUGGGGAGCAAACAGGAUUAGAUACCCUGGUAGUCCACGCCGUAAACGAUGUCAACUAGCCGUUGGAAUCCUUGAGAUUUUAGUGGCGCAGCUAACGCAUUAAGUUGACCGCCUGGGGAGUACGGCCGCAAGGUUAAAACUCAAAUGAAUUGACGGGGGCCCGCACAAGCGGUGGAGCAUGUGGUUUAAUUCGACAGCAACGCGAAGAACCUUACCUGGCCUUGACAUGCUGAGAACUUUCCAGAGAUGGAUUGGUGCCUUCGGGAACUCAGACACAGGUGCUGCAUGGCUGUCGUCAGCUCGUGUCGUGAGAUGUUGGGUUAAGUCCCGUAACGAGCGCAACCCUUGUCCUUAGUUACCAGCACCUCGGGUGGGCACUCUAAGGAGACUGCCGGUGACAAACCGGAGGAAGGUGGGGAUGAGUCAAGUCAUCAUGGCCCUUACGGCCAGGGCUACACACGUGCUACAAUGGUCGGUACAAAGGGUUGCCAAGCCGCGAGGUGGAGCUAAUCCCAUAAAACCGAUCGUAGUCCGGAUCGCAGUCUGCACACUCGACUGCGUGAAGUCGGAAUCGCUAGUAAUCGUGAAUCAGAAUGUCACGGUGAAUACGUUCCCGGGCCUUGUACACACCGCCCGUCACACCAUGGGAGUGGGUUGCUCCAGAAGUAGCUAGUCUAACCUUCGGGGGGACGGUUACCACGGAGUGAUUCAUGACUGGGGUGAAGAUCUCUAU
rnacentral:rRNA from 1 species